GCUUCUUCUUCCUCAUUCUCACUGGAGUAGACCCAUCGUACUGUUGUUACCCCUUCGGGUUCUCUUCCCUAAUGUCACAAACCCCAUUAAUAGUCAGUCAUAAAACCUCAGUCUUUACGGCAACAAUCAAACGUCACAAAACUCUUUCUACUCCUUCAUCUUUAUACCUCAUAUAUAUAUAUACUUUUGCUUUUAGCUACUCCCCUUCACCACAUUCGCAUAAACCAAUAAUCGCAGCAAUCGAUGGCAAAUAAAACCAUGAAUCUAAUUUUCUUUCUGAGAAUUAAGGCGACAUGAUCUCGAGCCAGGAACGUCAGAGGUUCUGCAACUCCGAGAAGUGGAAGACAGAAGUGUAUGGAGAUGAGGUUCUUAUUAUAGUUCAAGGAACUGCUCUGAGUCACGCUGAUACUCUCCACCACCUGUCUUUAUUCCUUGCCAUUGGUAUCCAGUGCUCCAUAACCAUCGAAUCCAUCGUUCAUGUUUGUCACUCACCGGAAAGUCGGAAACCAGAUCUAUGCUCUUCUUUCUGGAUGAGGAUAUGCAAAGAAAGUUGUUGUAUCCAUUGGAAAAAUCCUUCCAAUCCCGCAGGUUUAUUCGUAAAAGACGCAGACUCUUUCCCUAAAGUGGAGCUUAGUUUCCCUGAAUACGAACACGGCUUAUGAAUUCACAUUAUCUUCUUAGAUAUUCAAUUAUAGUUCGCUGCCUAACUACAUGUGAGUGAGAAUGAGUGGUUCGGGUAGAAAACGUGUUUUGAUAUGGGAUUCCUAGGAAGAAGAUAUUCAACAUCUUAGUGGAAAUGAAUAUGUUGGGAAGUCAGCUUCUUAUAUUCGCAACAAGAUCCUGUCCACGUUUCUAUCCAGAGGGUAAUGGUUGGGAAGCAACAUGAGAUCUGCCCCGGAUGAUAUGAUUAGGACAGUGAGCAUCUGCAUCUAUACAACAUUCAGUAAAAGCUUGGCCUCCCAAAAGCAAUGAUGAUGGUCAUCCCGCCAUGAUUUGUUACUAUGAUGCUAGCAAAAUCUUCUGAGCAAGAGGAAAAUAGGCAACUGUAUUUCCGCCAGUCACCUUUGAGGGACAGGCCUAGAACCCGUAGGAGGGCCUUAGCCCAUUGCAGAGGUUAGACGAGAUACUGGAGGAUCCUAUGACAACGCAAGACAGGGUCAGGAGAGAAAUUGAUGGUAGAUGUAAUAGAGAUGGUGACUAUGACUUGGAAGCUAACAAUAUAAAGACGAGGGACUGGUAAAACGAGUAAAGAUUUGUUGUAGAGAACUUCUUUAUCCUAAAUAAUUGUAUUGUACAUAAUCCGAGA